CAGCUGCUCUUUCUAAUCAUUACCAGGAGUUUGGGCCACAAGGCACGACCAGUAGGACCGAUAGUCCUCAGACAGCUUUUGGAAGUUCAGAGGAGACUGGAAAGGACUGGACAAGUACCCAAGAAGUACUCAGCAUCUUCCACCUGGACUACUGGGGGCUCAACCAAUCAUUUGAAAAGCCUUUUCUUAAUCGUUUCAAAGAAAAUGACCCACUCUCCUAGGCUCCUGAGUACCAAAGCCGGUUUAAAUAUGAAACUGAAUGGUAAUUAACACUUUCAUAAUUUUUACUUACUCCCAAAGAACUUGAAUGAGAGCGGAUGGUGUAAUGGUGGGGGUUUUGUCUUGCUAUACUAUUUAAAUCCUUCUGUGGUUCCAGACAUGAUCUCACCUAGGCUUGAUGUCCCUUUCAGGUGCUCUCCUCCCCUUGUCUGGGCUGUUGCCUAGCCUAAGUGGCUCCCACCACAGAGGUCUUUUUCCAUUUUCCCCAAUUCCUGUCAUUAUUGGCUGUACAAUUCCCCAAGAAUCUGUCCCCUUACUGCAGCUACUCACUUACUCCCUACACUAUCCCUGUCACUAAUAGCCAGCUUUUCUACAGAAUCUUUCCCCUCAUCCCCUUGGCACUCUCCAUCACUCUGGCAUCAUAUGUACCUCGUCACUUUUUCCUGAGAAGAUCCUUGAGGUUCCAGUUCUUUUCCCUGCCACCCCUGCCUACUGUGAGCUACAAAGCUGAGCUGAGACAUUUAACUUGUUUCCGAACCCACAAUCCUGUCGCUAUUGAAAUGGCAUUCAAAGUGUGAGUAUAUUCUUCAAAUCUCAUUUACAUACUUUACAAUAACAAGAGUUAACAUUUAUUGUGUGCUAACUCUGGCCAGGCACCCUUUGUUUUAAGUGCUUUGCCCACGUUUUCAAUUUAACUUGCACAACCCUUUUCUAAAGUAGGUACUAUUAUAUCGGCCCUGUCUUGGAAAUAAAACAGGCCCAGAAAUGUUAAGGAAACUUACCAAUGUCUCAUGUGUCUAAUAAAUGGCAAGGCUGGCUUUUGAAACAAAGGUAUUUGCUAUCAUAGUCCCAGUACUGAACUCCCUAUAUAUUAUCUCGUUUAUCACCCAUGGCAUCUGUCUCUUGGGGAGGGCGGGAUUCAUAUUGUUCCUGUUUUAUAAAUGGAGACACGGAAUUGUGGAGUGACUAGUUCAGGGUCACACAGCUGAAAAGGGACAGGACUUGAAUCCAAGUUCAGCUCUCUUUGUCUCUACUACCUUGCCUUGGGUACAAUCCAAAAGGGGCGCAGGCUUUUAUCAGCUUUGACCAUUUAUUUUACAUACUACUUAGCUGUCUUUAGAGAAAUCAAGCACUUUUGCUAUCAGGGGAUUCUGGAUUAGGAUUAUAGAUUUUUUUUCCCCUAUGAUUAAUGGUGAGCAGCCAUGUAAAUAAUCUAGUGCCUGAAGCUAAAAAUAAUCAAAGUCUGCCAGAAGGAAAUCAGGUGUCAGCCUCAUGACAGAAAGAAGGAAUUUAAGAUGUUCAAUUUCUCUUUCUUCUCCAUCAUCCUUUGUUUACCUGCAGAUCAGGGUUCCAGGAAUAAUGAGGUGGGUUUUAUGAGCAGCAGGUGCUCCACUUGGCUCCUCUCCUGGGCAGACAGGGAGCAGCAGAAAAAUAGUAACUGUCUUCAUCUCUAUAUAGUAUGUGACUGCUGGAUAGAGUUUUCUGAUGUCCUGUAUCUCACUCAGAUCUCACAACAGGGAGAGCAGAUUUUAUUAGCCUUGUUUCACUCAAAAGAAAGAGCAACAAGGAGUUCCCGCUGUGGCACAUGGGUUAAGAAUCUGCAGGAGUUCCCAUUGUGGCUUAGAGGGUUAAGGAGCUGAUGUCUUUGUGAGACUGUGGGUUCAAUCCCUGAACUUGAUCAGUGGGUUAAGGAUCUGUGUUGCCACAAGUUGCAGUGGAGUCUACAGAUGUGGCUCAGAUCUGGUGUUUCUGUAGCUGUGGCAUAGGCCUGCAGCUGCAGCUCUGAUUCCAUCCCUAGCCCAGGGACUUCCAUAUGCUGCAGGUGUGGCCUUAAAAAGAAAAAAUAAAGAAUCUGGCUGUAGCAGCUUGGGUUGCUGAAGAGGCAUGGAGUUCCAUCCCCAGCCCUCACAAUGGAUUAAAGGAUCCAGCGUCUUGCCACUGCAGUGUAGGUCAUAGCUGCCACUUGGAUUCAAUCCCUGGUCCAGGAGUUUCCAUAUGCCACAGAUGCAGCCAUCAAAAUUUUUAAAAAGAAGAAAAAAGGAAGAGCAACAAGUGGCUUUUUGGAGCUCACACCUAGCUAAUGGCAGGACUUGUAUUUUCCUGCAUUUUCCAUCCCAAAUUGGUGAAGCUACAAAGAGGAAGGAGGAGAUUAAGGGAGUUUGUAGGCCUCCCAUAAUGUGCUGUGCCCCCUCCAGCCAGCCUCUGGAUGAACAGUUGACCAUCACACUAUGAGCAAGGCAAACAGACUUAAACCCCACCCACCAACUGGGUGACCUUGAAUGUUCCUUUGGGGAAAUGAUAUAGCCACCAUCUCUAGGCUGGAGCCUUUUUCAUUCAUCUAUCCCCACGGUGGUGGAUGAUGGAUUUAGAACUGGUCAGUAUGAAUGACCAUAGAACCUUGUGAUUAUUUUUGACCUCCCAACUACUUUUCUGGGUUAGGUGACUUUUCUAAGUUACAUGAAAAUAUUGCUAGCUGAGGCUCUGGUUCCAUGAGUUUUUACUUUACUGACUACUAGAGGUAUUCUAAACAUCGAGAUGGCAUAUACUCUAGAAAUCUGAUCUAGGGAAACCUAAAGAAGAUUGGGUAACAUGGGAGAUGAACUGGCUUUUGAUUCCUAAAAUGUUAAUAAGCUGUAUGUAUGUGCUUAGUGAUUAGGAUUUGGAGAGCUUCUCCGCUUUAGAAAGGACCAUCAAUUCAUUUAUGUAGGAGAGAAGUGGGUUAACUUCGUGGGCCUGGGGAAAAAAAUGACAAUAUCUUCCACUGUUACUGGGCUGUAGCAAGAUUUCACAGCAAGCAGCCUCAGUGUAAUUCAACACAAUGAGAAACUGUUGUUCAAGUAAUUCACAUGAACCAUCUUUUGCCAGCUUCAAUUUUGUUCAUAGGCAAAUACAAAGUUGAAAAAUAAAUGCAAAGAAUGAUUUCUGAUUGUCACUGGGAUGGAAAAUAGAUGCUUAGAUUCUCACC
rnacentral:lncRNA from 1 species